UGGGAACAGUGCCUGGGUGUCCUCCUGC
rnacentral:piRNA from 1 species